rnacentral:rRNA from 1 species
GCGCGGAAGAUGUAACGGGGCUAAACCAUGCACCGAAGCUGCGGCAGCGACACUGUGUGUUGUUGGGUAGGGGAGCGUUCUGUAAGCCUGUGAAGGUGUGCUGUGAGGCAUGCUGGAGGUAUCAGAAGUGCGAAUGCUGACAUAAGUAACGAUAAAGCGGGUGAAAAGCCCGCUCGCCGGAAGACCAAGGGUUCCUGUCCAACGUUAAUCGGGGCAGGGUGAGUCGACCCCUAAGGCGAGGCCGAAAGGCGUAGUCGAUGGGAAACAGGUUAAUAUUCCUGUACUUGGUGUUACUGCGAAGGGGGGACGGAGAAGGCUAUGUUGGCCGGGCGACGGUUGUCCCGGUUUAAGCGUGUAGGCUGGUUUUCCAGGCAAAUCCGGAAAAUCAAGGCUGAGGCGUGAUGACGAGGCACUACGGUGCUGAAGCAACAAAUGCCCUGCUUCCAGGAAAAGCCUCUAAGCAUCAGGUAACAUCAAAUCGUACCCCAAACCGACACAGGUGGUCAGGUAGAGAAUACCAAGGCGCUUGAGAGAACUCGGGUGAAGGAACUAGGCAAAAUGGUGCCGUAACUUCGGGAGAAGGCACGCUGAUAUGUAGGUGAAGUCCCUCGCGGAUGGAGCUGAAAUCAGUCGAAGAUACCAGCUGGCUGCAACUGUUUAUUAAAAACACAGCACUGUGCAAACACGAAAGUGGACGUAUACGGUGUGACGCCUGCCCGGUGCCGGAAGGUUAAUUGAUGGGGUCAGCGCAAGCGAAGCUCUUGAUCGAAGCCCCGGUAAACGGCGGCCGUAACUAUAACGGUCCUAAGGUAGCGAAAUUCCUUGUCGGGUAAGUUCCGACCUGCACGAAUGGCGUAAUGAUGGCCAGGCUGUCUCCACCCGAGACUCAGUGAAAUUGAACUCGCUGUGAAGAUGCAGUGUACCCGCGGCAAGACGGAAAGACCCCGUGAACCUUUACUAUAGCUUGACACUGAACAUUGAGCCUUGAUGUGUAGGAUAGGUGGGAGGCUUUGAAGUGUGGACGCCAGUCUGCAUGGAGCCGACCUUGAAAUACCACCCUUUAAUGUUUGAUGUUCUAACGUGGACCCGUGAUCCGGGUUGCGGACAGUGUCUGGUGGGUAGUUUGACUGGGGCGGUCUCCUCCUAAAGAGUAACGGAGGAGCACGAAGGUUGGCUAAUCCUGGUCGGACAUCAGGAGGUUAGUGCAAUGGCAUAAGCCAGCUUGACUGCGAGCGUGACGGCGCGAGCAGGUGCGAAAGCAGGUCAUAGUGAUCCGGUGGUUCUGAAUGGAAGGGCCAUCGCUCAACGGAUAAAAGGUACUCCGGGGAUAACAGGCUGAUACCGCCCAAGAGUUCAUAUCGACGGCGGUGUUUGGCACCUCGAUGUCGGCUCAUCACAUCCUGGGGCUGAAGUAGGUCCCAAGGGUAUGGCUGUUCGCCAUUUAAAGUGGUACGCGAGCUGGGUUUAGAACGUCGUGAGACAGUUCGGUCCCUAUCUGCCGUGGGCGCUGGAGAACUGAGGGGGGCUGCUCCUAGUACGAGAGGACCGGAGUGGACGCAUCACUGGUGUUCGGGUUGUCAUGCCAAUGGCACUGCCCGGUAGCUAAAUGCGGAAGAGAUAAGUGCUGAAAGCAUCUAAGCACGAAACUUGCCCCGAGAUGAGUUCUCCCUGACCCUUUAAGGGUCCUGAAGGAACGUUGAAGACGACGACGUUGAUAGGCCGGGUGUGUAAGCGCAGCGAUGCGUUGAGCUAACCGGUACUAAUGAACCGUGAGGCUUAACCUU